rnacentral:misc_RNA from 1 species
GAAAUGCGAUAAUUAAUGUGAAUUGCAGAAUUCAGUGAAUCAUCGAGUCUUUGAACGCACAUUGCGCCCCCUGGUAUUCCGGGGGGCAUGCCUGUCCGAGCGUCAUUGCUGCCCUCAAGCACGGCUUGUGUGUUGGGCUUCCGUCCCUGGCAACGGGGACGGGCCCAAAAGGCAGUGGCGGCACCAUGUCUGGUCCUCGAGCGUAUGGGGCUUUGUCACCCGCUCCCGUAGGUCCGGCUGGCAGCUAGCCUCGCAACCAAUCUUUUUAACCAGGUUGACCUCGGAUCAGGUAGGGAUACCCGCUGAACUUAAGC